rnacentral:rRNA from 1 species
CAAUAGCGUAUAUUUAAGUUGUUGCAGUUAAAAAGCUCGUAGUCGGAUUUUGGCUGAGAACGAUCGGUCCGCCGUUAGGUGUGCACUGAUUGGUCUCAGCUUCCUGGUGAGGAGGUGUGCUUCACGGCCACUUAGUCACCGUGGUUACUUUGAAAAAAUUAGAGUGUUCAAGGCGGGCUUACGCUUGAAUAUAUUAGCAUGGAAUAACACCAUAGGACUCCUGUCCUAUUUCGUUGGUCUCGGGACGGGAGUAAUGAUUAAGAGGAACAGUUGGGGGCAUUCGUAUUUCAUUGUCAGAGGUGAAAUUCUUGGAUUUAUGAAAGACGAACUUCUGCGAAAGCAUUUGCCAAGGAUGUUUUCAUUGA